rnacentral:sRNA from 1 species
GAGAGAACGUUGCCGCUGGCAAUGGCCCGAAGGCGAGGCGCUUUAGCGCCGAGUAAUCCUUCCCCCACCACUC